AUCUGGCUCAGGAUGAACGCUGGCGGCGUGCCUAACACAUGCAAGUCGAACGGACUUACAUUGAAGCCUAGCGAUAUGUAAGUUAGUGGCGGACGGGUGAGUAACGCGUGGGUAACCUGCCUUGUACUGGGGGACAACAGUUGGAAACGACUGCUAAUACCGCAUAAGCGCACAGCUUCGCAUGAAGCAGUGUAGAAAAACUCCGGUGGUACAAGAUGGACCCGCGUCUGAUUAGCUGGG
rnacentral:rRNA from 1 species